AGCGAACGCUGGCGGCAGGCCUAACACAUGCAAGUCGAACGAACCUUUCGGGGUUAGUGGCGGACGGGUGAGUAACACGUGGGAACGUGCCUUUAGGCUCGGAAUAACUCAGGUAAACUUGUGCUAAUACCGAAUGUGCCCUUCGGGGGAAAGAUUAAUCGCCUUUAGAGCGGCCCGCGUCUGUUUAGCUAGUUGGUUGAGGUAAUGGCGCACCAAGGCGACGAUCAGUAGCUGGUCUGAGAGGAUGAUCAGCCACAUUGGGACUGAGACACGGCCCAAACUCCUACGGGAGGCAGCAGUGGGGAAUCUUGCGCAAUGGGCGAAAGCCUGACGCAGCCAUGCCGCGUGAAUGAUGAAGGUCUUAGGAUUGUAAAAUUCUUUCACCGGGGACGAUAAUGACGGUACCCGGAGAAGAAGCCCCGGCUAACUUCGUG
rnacentral:rRNA from 1 species